GGGCUUUGAAAGGCAAGAAGUUCGGAAGGGAAGGACGUGAUGGGAGUCCAGGUACGUGGCUUUCUUGGGACCAGACUUCACUUACUGUCAGCCUCUAGGGAAGCAAAGUGGCUGGCAGAGUUGAUCCCAGUCAAAGGGGAGGUUCCCCCAUCUUCCUCAGGGUGGGCUGCAGGGUCAAGGUUUUCUCAAAAGCUGCUUUUUGGAGUUUGGCCUAAAAUCCUGGUGUUAGUACAGGUGUGAGAGUAUUCCCAUUUGCGAUGGUUUUUCUGAGUUUUGAAGCACCAUGGAACAGAGGCCAGACCUUGAUCGAAAUGCAGGUGAGGACUUUGGAGGGGCCUCCCUCUGGCUGGGCCUCAUGGUGCAUCCUCAAGGCCGAUCAAGGCGGCUGCCGGCAGUGCUAACAUUGGUUAUGGAAUCAUUGAUUCUGAACUCUUUUGGCUGAAAUUAGCUAACAGAUUGAACUUUUUAUUUUUAAAAACAUUGCUCUUUACAGAAU